rnacentral:misc_RNA from 1 species
GCAGAAUGGUCUACAAAUUCAAUACUAUCAAGCCCCAUGCCAUUGCUUAUGUCCCUUAAAGAAGCAACUUCCUCAACCAGUUGUGUAUCAAUCUUAUCACAGUUUGAAGCAUCCAUCUGUAUAAAAUCAUUUGCACCAAUCAUUUUGUCCAUGAUAUCGGACUGAUCAACAGUACCAAUUGGCAUUUCAAAAAUAUCUGCAGACACUGGCUCUCUUUGGGAUGUCACCAAACCCUGAGCAGAAUGAUUUGUGAUAUCAGCAACUUCAGCAUCUACUUUAUCAAUUUCCAUUUCACUUGUUUUUCCCAAAUGUUCAUGUUCUAAAGAUCUAUAAUCAGCUAAAUCAGUGAUUCCAUUCAUGUGUUCUUGAUUAAUAUUAUCAUAUGAGCUGAAGUGGUCUUCAUCCUGGCGAUUAUCAUUCUGAAUGAGAGUCUCAUAGGAUUGUCCAUCCAAGCCAUGUCUGCAACUACCAGGUUCUGUUGACCCUUCAAUUUCACUAUGUUGGGUAACAUAUUGCUUGGCAGAAUCUUCAUCAUUCAAUGCUUCCACAGGAGGGUUAUUAUUAUCAUCAUUUUCAGAAACCCUGAUUCUGCUCAAAUCAAAUGCUUCACUGUGCAAAUGUGAC